rnacentral:rRNA from 1 species
UGACCUCGGAUCAGGUGGGGAUACCCGAUGAACUUAAGCAUAUCAAUAAGCGGAGGAA